rnacentral:rRNA from 1 species
AGUGAACGCUGGCGGUAGGCCUAACACAUGCAAGUCGAACGGCAGCACAGUAAGAGCUUGCUCUUACGGGUGGCGAGUGGCGGACGGGUGAGGAAUACAUCGGAAUCUACUUUUUCGUGGGGGAUAACGUAGGGAAACUUACGCUAAUACCGCAUACGACCUACGGGUGAAAGCAGGGGAUCUUCGGACCUUGCGCGAUUGAAUGAGCCGAUGUCGGAUUAGCUAGUUGGCGGGGUAAAGGCCCACCAAGGCGACGAUCCGUAGCUGGUCUGAGAGGAUGAUCAGCCACACUGGAACUGAGACACGGUCCAGACUCCUACGGGAGGCAGCAGUAGGGAAUCUUGGACAAUGGGCGAAAGCCUGAUCCAGCCAUACCGCGUGGGUGAAGAAGGCCUUCGGGUUGUAAAGCCCUUUUGUUGGGAAAGAAAAGCAGCAGGUUAAUCCCCCGCUGUUCUGACGGUACCUAAAGAAUAAGCACCGGCUAACUUCGUG